CUAUGCGCCUUGCCAGCCCGCUCAGGUGUGCCAGCGCCGCGGUAAUACGUAGGGGGCAAGCGUUAUCCGGAUUUACUGGGUGUAAAGGGAGCGUAGACGGCCAGACAAGUCUGAAGUGAAAAUCCAGCGCUUAACGUUGGAAGUGCUUUGGAAACUGCCGGGCUGGAGUGCAGGAGGGGCAGGCGGAAUUCCUAGUGUAGCGGUGAAAUGCGUAGAUAUUAGGAGGAACACCGGUGGCGAAGGCGGCUUACUGGACAGAAACUGACACUGAGGCUCGAAAGCGUGGGGAGCAAACAGG
rnacentral:rRNA from 1 species